AAAUGGGGGGCUGCUUACCAUGCAGUCGAACGGCAGCACGGGUGCUUGCACCUGGUGGCGAGUGGCGAACGGGUGAGUAAUACAUCGGAACAUGUCCUGUAGUGGGGGAUAGCCCGGCGAAAGCCGGAUUAAUACCGCAUACGAUCUCUGGAUGAAAGCGGGGGACCUUCGGGCCUCGCGCUAUAGGGUUGGCCGAUGGCUGAUUAGCUAGUUGGUGGGGUAAAGGCCUACCAAGGCGACGAUCAGUAGCUGGUCUGAGAGGACGACCAGCCACACUGGGACUGAGACACGGCCCAGACUCCUACGGGAGGCAGCAGUGGGGAAUUUUGGACAAUGGGCGAAAGCCUGAUCCAGCAAUGCCGCGUGUGUGAAGAAGGCCUUCGGGUUGUAAAGCACUUUUGUCCGGAAAGAAAUCCUUGGCCCUAAUACGGUCGGGGGAUGACGGUACCGGAAGAAUAAGCACCGGCUAACUACGUGCCAGCAGC
rnacentral:rRNA from 1 species